AACGGCCGCGGUAUCCUAACCGUGCGAAGGUAGCGUAAUCACUUGUUCUUUAAAUGAGGACUAGUAUGAAUGGCACCACGAGGGUUAAACUGUCUCCUUUUUUUAAUCAGUGAAACUAAUCUCCCCGUGAAGAAGCGGGGAUUCUUUUAUAAGACGAGAAGACCCUAUGGAGCUUUAAACAAGUUAACACCUGCUACUAAUCUUCACUUUCCUGAACCACCACAUUAAGUAUAGCACCUCUGAUUAACAGUUUUCGAUUGGGGUGAUCAUGGAGCAAAAAUUAACCUCCACGACGAAAAGGAAUACCUCCUUGAGCCAAAAGCUACAACUUUAAGCACUAAAAAACUAACGCACUUUGACCCAAUUCUUUGAGCAACGAACCAAGUUACCCUAGGGAUAACAGCGCAAUCCACUUUAAGAGCUCCUAUCGACAAGUGAGUUUACGACCUCGAUGUUGGAUCAGGGUAUCCCAGUGGUG
rnacentral:rRNA from 1 species